UAGAGAACCACCUUGGACACCAAGUGUGGCGUCCUUCACCGGUACCCUGUCUCACAAUUCUCAUGGACCUGCUCAUCUGGCAACUUUCCAAGAUUCUCGCAAAACACAGACUCUAGAUCCAAAAAAUCUAGCGAAUCUUAAAAGAGGUCCAACUCCUGCUUGGAAUCAGAAUCGUCCAUUACCACCAAAUCCUAGCAGUCAACCAACAUGGGAAUUUGAGUCUCGUUCGCAGACUAAUAUGAAUCAAUUUCGAUCCCUGGUACGAAAUAAGACACCAAACAUUCGGAUUCAAGACCAAGUGCAAGAUCAAGUACGAACGCUGGAUAGAAAUUUCACCAGGAAUCAAUUCAAUGGUACUACACAAAAUAAUGCCGUACCAAAUAUGUAUGGAACGUAUAAUCGAGCACAAUCGAGACAAGAAAACAAAUCAACGGUGGCGACGUUGAGUCAAGUACAGGGUAGCGAUCCCAAUUUGUAUGCUGUGACGGAAUUGUAAAAUCAAACGGUGUACCAAACACAUGCAAACUGCCAUUAUAUAAGAAUUUUGCAAUUCAAUAACAGAUGUAAGCUCAUUGGUAAAUUUUCAUUGAGUGUGUGUAGAAAAUUGAGAAAAACGAAAACAAAAUCAUUCUUUUUAAGAGACUCUUUCUAGAAACGUUUUACAUUUUUUUAAGUAUUAACGUGCAUAUUUUGAUAUAUGCAUUCUUAUUUUAUAUGAUAAACUCGAAGAAAAGUGGCUCAAUUGUUUGGUAACUUUUGAUAAGAAUCAUAAACAUUUACAUAUGUUUAAUCAUAAGAUUUUACAAAAGAUCGUCAUUUUAUGAGUACAAUUGAUGGAGACCGGAAACCAUAAAGAGUUUUCCUGCAAAGAUAUUCAAAAUUUUUGGGAAAUCAAAACAAAAAUAAAAAAAAGAG